AGCUGUGUAGUGCCAAGUCAGGUCUAAGGCAGCGGACUUAGGAUUCGUGGAGUUAGUCUCAUCAUGGGUUCAAAUCCCAUCGCAGCUA
rnacentral:tRNA from 1 species